UGUUUAGUAUAAGUAUGUCCCAUGCAAUAUUUGUGAUGUACUUAUACCAAAA
rnacentral:pre_miRNA from 1 species